AAAAAAAAAAAAAAAGAGGACAAAACUAGUUAUUGCAAAAUCAAUCAGUCAUUUUGAUCAUUAGAAUCUAAAUCUUGUCAUCUUGUAAUUUAGUUUAUUGAGUAUAUGCUAUUUAUGUACUUCUACUGGAAAACAAUGAAACAUGUGCUAUGGCAUGUGGAUGGAGUACUUAAUUCUGGGAAGUGGUUUGACUACAUUUAUUACAAAAUGAAGUAACACUUUGUGAUCAGCUAUCCACUUUUCUUCCUUAUAAUUUCAAUCUUUUUCAUUUGUUUCUUCAUUGUUUAUUUAUUUUCCAGAUUGCUGAUGCAGUAGUGGU
rnacentral:misc_RNA from 1 species